rnacentral:rRNA from 1 species
GACAGAGGGUGCAAACGUUGCUCGGAAUUACUGGGCGUAAAGGGCGUGUAGGCGGGAAGCAAGUCGGGCGUGAAAGCCCCAGGCUCAACCUGGGAACUGCACUCGAAACUGCCUUCUUGAGUGCCGGAGAGGAAAGGCGGAAUUCCUGGUGUAGAGGUGAAAUUCGUAGAUAUCAGGAGGAACACCAGUGGCGAAGGCGG